CCUACGGGUGGCUGCAGUGGGGAAUAUUGCACAACGGGGGAAACCCUGAUGCAGCAACGACGCGUUAGCGAUGAAGGCCUUCGGGUCGUAAAGCUCUGUCCUAAGGGAAGAAUACUGACGGUACCUUAGGACGAAGCCCCGGCUAACUACGUGCCAGCAGGCGCGGUAAUACGUAGGGGAAUAGCGUUAUCCGGAAUUACUGGGCGUACAGGGUGCGUAGGCGGCCCUACAAGUCAGAGGUGAAAGGCUACGGCUCAACCGUAGUAAGCCUUUGAAACUGUAGGGCUUGAGUGCAGGAGAGGAGAGUGGAAUUCCCAGUGUAGCGGUGCAAUGCGUAGAUAUUGGGAGGAACGCCAGUUGCGAAGGCGGCUCUCUGGACUGUAACUGACGCUGAGACACGAAAGCGUGGGGGGCGAACAGGAUUAGAUACCCUUGUAGUC
rnacentral:rRNA from 1 species